UACGUAGGGUGCGAGCGUUGUCCGGAAUUAUUGGGCGUAAAGAGCUCGUAGGUGGUUUGUCGCGUUGUUCGUGAAAACUCACAGCUCAACUGUGGGCGUGCGGGCGAUACGGGCAGACUGGAGUACUGCAGGGGAGACUGGAAUUCCUGGUGUAGCGGUGGAAUGCGCAGAUAUCAGGAGGAACACCGGUGGCGAAGGCGGGUCUCUGGGGCCGAUACUGACGCUGAGGAGCGAAAGCGUGGGGAGCGAAACAGG
rnacentral:rRNA from 1 species